AUGCUGUGGCAGACUCAGCUCCUCUGGCUCCUCGUGCUCUGGGCAAAGGGCUCCAGCGGGGACAUUGCUGUGACUCAGACUCCAGAGUCCCUGGCAGUGACUCCCGGGGGGACAGUCACCAUCAAGUGCAAAGCCAGUUCCAGUGUUGGCAGCAACAUGGCCUUGUACCAGCAGAAACCAGGGCAGGCUCCUAAGCAACUUUUAUAUGGAACAAACAACCGCCCCUCCGGGAUCCCCGACCGGUUCAGUGGCAGUGGGUCUGGCACCGACUUCACUUUCACCAUCAGCCGUGUGGAAGUGGAUGAUGCAGGAGAUUAUUACUGUCUACAGCACAACAACCUAUGA